GGGGAAUAUUGGGCAAUGGGCGAAAGCCUGACCCAGCAACGCCGCGUGAAGGAAGAAGGUCUUCGGAUUGUAAACUUCUUUUAUGAGGGACGAAGGACGUGACGGUACCUCAUGAAUAAGCCACGGCUAACUACGUGCCAGCAGCCGCGGUAAUACGUAGGUGGCAAGCGUUAUCCGGAUUUACUGGGUGUAAAGGGCGCGUAGGCGGGGAUGCAAGUCAGAUGUGAAAUCUAUGGGCUUAACUCAUAAACUGCAUUUGAAACUGUAUCUCUUGAGUGCUGGAGAGGUAGAUGGAAUUCCUUGUGUAGCGGUGAAAUGCGUAGAUAUAAGGAAGAACACCAGUGGCGAAGGCGAUCUACUGGACAGUAACUGACGCUGAGGCGCGAAAGCGUGGGGAGCAAAC
rnacentral:rRNA from 1 species